rnacentral:rRNA from 1 species
CCUACGGGAGACAGCAGUGAGGAAUAUUGGUCAAUGGACGAGAGUCUGAACCAGCCAAGUAGCGUGAAGGAUGACUGCCCUAUGGGUUGUAAACUUCUUUUAUAUGGGAAUAAAACGAGGCACGUGUGCCUUUUUGCAUGUACCUUAUGAAUAAGGAUCGGCUAACUCCGUGCCAGCAGCCGCGGUAAUACGGAGGAUCCGAGCGUUAUCCGGAUUUAUUGGGUUUAAAGGGAGCGUAGGUGGGUUGUUAAGUCAGUUGUGAAAGUUUGCGGCUCAACCGUAAAAUUGCAGUUGAAACUGGCAGUCUUGAGUACAGUAGAGGUAGGCGGAAUUCGUGGUGUAGCGGUGAAAUGCUUAGAUAUCACGAAGAACCCCGAUUGCGAAGGCAGCUUACUGGACUGCAACUGACACUGAUGCUCGAAAGUGUGGGUAUCAAACAGGAUUAGAUACCCGUGUAGUC